UACGUAGGGGGCAAGCGUUGUUCGGAAUUACUGGGCGUAAAGGGCGCGUAGGCGGCCCAGCAAGUCGGGAGUGAAAGCCCGGGGCUCAACCCCGGAACUGCUUUCGAAACUGCUGAGCUAGAGUACAGAAGGGGCAACCGGAAUUCCCAGUGUAGCGGUGAAAUGCGUAGAUAUUGGGAAGAACACCUGAGGCGAAGGCGGGUUGCUGGGCUGAUACUGACGCUGAGGCGCGAAAGCCAGGGGAGCAAACGGG
rnacentral:rRNA from 1 species